rnacentral:lncRNA from 1 species
UCAAUGGUGAAGGCGGUUGUUGUUGUUGUUGCUGCUGCUGCUCUGGUGAAAACAGCGGUGGCGGGAAAUUUACGUUGCAUGGUUGAAGAAGGAUUACUGUUAGAGUCGGUAUGAACGCAGGGUGGUUGUUCAAUGUCGAUCGGAGGGGAUCGAAUAACGUUGGCGGAGAAGAGAGCGCAGUGUUGAGUGCUGCAGUGUUUUGAUUGGCGGGAGGUGUCGAUAUCAGUAAUAAGUUGUUCGGUGGGAAAAAAGAGAACUGGUUGUUCAAUGUCUAUGGAGAAAGAAGCUUCUUUAGGGUUGUUUUGGUUAAGGAGAAGCUCGAGUUGGUGGCUAAGAUCAUCCAUGGAGGGAGGGAGGGAGACAGAGAUAUGGGUGUGGAAUGCAUAGAUAUGAGAAUUAGGGUUGUAUAUAUAAAGAUGGUCAUGUAAUAUUACUGUGAGUGAGGUAGUGCCGUUGCCUUUAAUGAAGUUCCUCAAGGUUGUAAUUAUAGCCUGAAGAUUCUCAACGAUAUUGUAGAUAUAUGCAACGUUUCAUGUAUCACUUAUUAAUUACGUAGCUUCAACUAGUGUGGCUCCAAAUUACCUAAGUAGUUAUCAACGUCAUGUAUUUCCUAGUUAGCUACAAGUGAGAAAUUCUUCGAUCCAUUGUAUAAAAAAGCCUAUGCCGAAUGCAUUUCAUGUUUAAACAUCUUUCAUUUAUCAAUCCAAUGUAUAAAAAAGCCUAUGCCGAAUGCAUUUCAUGUUUGUACAUCUUUCAUUUAUCAAUCGUUCAUUUCAUGUUACAUUUCGAUCUAAGAUAUCUAGAUAACUUUGUAAAUUUUUUUAUUUAAUUUUUAUUGAUUGGAUCAAAAAAAAUAUCAUAGGAUGAAAGCUUCAUAAACAAGCGGUAUAGUAAUAUGUAAAUACACAUGGUCUAGGUAAUAAGUUUCCUUCUUAUAUUUUUGUUUUGCCCAAAUUCAAUUCUACCGCGCCUUUACAUACCCACUGGCCCUACCUACGUACCCACUGGCCCUACCUCUCUUCGCGGCCAUUUAUUAGGCCGACGCCACCUUGGGUAUAAAUAUGUGUGCACUCCUCACAGAACGUCCACAACACACAUUGCCAACAACAGAAACACUCUAACUCACGCAACCUCGCAGAACGUCCACAACACACAUCGCCCACAACAGAAACACUCAACUCACCCAACACCAAAAUCCCUCCAACAAAAGUUCAAAAUGAGUGCACUACAAACAAUUAUCUUACUGCUGUUCAUCCUUAGUUCCAUCGGCGCGGAUGGCAUCCCAGGUGGUGGCGCGGAUAGCGUCCCUAGUGGCGGGUGGGAGCUACUUCAAAAAGUAUUGGAGUAUCGGUGAUGCACAUGCAAUUGCUUCAUACUGAUCACGUGAUUAUUUUUUAUCGUACUGACUUUGGUCAUUCCAAUCUCUCCCUCCCGCGUAUAGUCAGCAUUAUAUCAUGUCGUUGGUGUAAUUUUAUUACAGUUGAUAUAUUGGAGGGAUACUGAUGCUGUUGGUGUAAUUUUAUUACAGUUGAUCAUGUUGUUGGUGUAAUUUUAUUACAGUUGAUAGAUGGUUGUACGUGCAGUGGAAGAUAAAUUAGAGCUCGGUAUCAAUAUUGCCUGUUGUUGAAUUUUUUUAAGUUUUUACUAAUUACUGUAUUAUUAGAUUAGAUCCAAAGACCGACAGUAAAAAUAUCUAUUAUUUUAUGUCCUUUUUUAUCUCCAAAAUACCCUUCUACUUACCUUUUUCUUAACUAUCUACAAAAUUAAUGAUGAAUAAAAAGAAUAUAUUUUCUUCUUUUGAGGUAUUUAAAAAUAGAAUAUUAAAAGACCAACUACUACCAUAUUCAAUACCUUGAAAGGUAUUUUUUUUUUGUCGUACAUUCUCUUUUUUUUUUCUAUUGGUAAAAUUAAAAAUGUCCGUGGACCGGGUCGGGUCUGGAUAAUUAAUAUACUGUACCCAUACCCUAAAAAGAAAUGGUUACAAAAAAUAUAUAUAUACCCUACCCAUUUAACUUCGGGUCGGGUCCGGGUCUGGGUACUAAAGUUUCUAAUAUACCCAUCGGGUCUAUUUGAGCGGGUCUGGGUAGUGACUACCCGUAUACUACCCGUUCAAAAUCGGAUAUGGAUCGGAUCUAAAUCAGGUACGGAUAUCCGUAUAAAUAUAUUUUUUUAUAAACUUUAUUAAAUAGUCAAUAAACAAACUAUAUUGUUGACAAUGAAAUAUUAUUGGCGGAAAUGAAAUGAAAAAAAAGAGUAGAAAACAAAGAGUAAAAAAAUUAGAAAAAAGUAAUGAGUAAAAGAGACGGCUAGGGUUUCAUUAGGAUGAAAAUACAUAGUGACUCAUCAUCUAUAAGUCAUAUUAAAAUUGAUCCUUCAACUUCAAAAGUUUUUUUUUUUUUAUUUACUAUCGGAUAUUUCAUCGGGUCCGGGUCAGGGUCCGGAUUUGAAAACUAUUCCGGACCCUACCCAUUUAAAAGUUAGGUUCGGGUCAGGUCCAAAUCGGGUAUGGGUAUAAAAUAUCCGGACCUAUACCCGAAAUUUUAAUGGGUAAUUUUUUUUAUUCGUAUACUAUUCAUUUUUUAUCGGGUCCGGUUCGGGUCCGGUUCGGGUCCGGGUAGGGUCCGGAUCGGAUAUGGGAUAUCGGAUAUUUUGGACACCUUUAGGUAAAAUUUCCUUUAAAACCCAUCCUAUUUGGCAUUAACCAAUCAAAAUAAAUUUUGGUUGAUGUCCUCUCAACUUCAAUUUAUGUUUAUUUGAAUUAUGCGUAUUUUGUUUUAAUACUUGAUAAAAAAAACAAUAGUUCUUAUGUUAUAUAUAUUAACAUAAAUGUAUAGACAUUAAAUAACAUAAAACAACAGUUCUUGUGUUAUAUAUAUUAAUAUAUAUGUCUAUACAUUAAUAGUGGUAACAAUGUAAAUUACAUAGUUUUGUGGCUUCUAAUAAAGUGGAAUAUAUUUAAAAGAGCUUAUAAAAUUAUAAAAAAUAAAAUAUUUAAUUUAACAGUAAUUUAAAAUAAUUGUAAUAACAAAUUAUGCAAGAGCAUCCAUAAAAUAAAUACGGUUGAUAAGGCUAUUUAAAAUUGUCUUAGGAGGUAUUUUAAGGUUUAGAAUUUAAGAUUUAAAGUUUAUUGAAUUUUAAACAAAUUUUUAUUUGACAAAAUUAAACAUUGCCUUUGUAAUUAUGUGUAACAUGCAAGCUGAGUCCAAUUUUCUAGUAGUAAUAAAAAAGCUGAGUCCAAUUUUCUAGUAGUAAUAAAAAAAAUCGAGUCCAAUUUUCUAGUAGUAAUAAAAAAGUCGAGUACCUACGAUUCAUUUUUAUCUUCUCCAAACGUUUAGUUUGUUUAGUGAUAGCUGAAAGAUGUAUAAACAAAAUUCAUACAUGAAUCCAAAUCCGUCGAAUUUUUAUUUUUAUAUUCGUAUCUGAAACUAUUUUUGUUUAACUUCAGAUAAAUUUGCUCUGUUUGGAUUUAAAUUCGAAUAAAACUUUGAAUAUCAGUACCUAUUGACAUCCCUACUCUCCAUUUAAUUAAGGGUCCAUUUAUGUAUACACGUUGCUCUCCAUUGUACUCCAAUAAUCUAUAAACGUGACAUAAUUUGAUUGGAUUUUUAAAUUUUAAUUUAUUAGUGUGGUCUUUAUGAAAGUCAAACUCAAAAACUUAAUGAGACAACAUACAUAAAAAAACAAAUCAAUGCUUUAGAAAUAGAGCAAUUUUAGAAAUAUAACAAUAAUUAUAGAAUAUCUUUUUAAAAAUGACAAUUAUUAUAAGCUAGGGCUACUAUACUUUUAUGACAAUAAUUACAAGCUAGGGCUACUCUAAUUAUAGAAUAUCUUUUUGACCGUUGGAUAAAGGAACAUGCGGUUAGGAUGAUAGUAGUCCCCGAGGGUUGAGUGGGUGGUUGUUUAAUAGUUCUUACGUCAUCUGUUUUGUUGUUUGUUUCAGAGCCAUCCGCAUCGGGAGAGGCUAGGGAUCGUGGCAAUGGGUUAACGACUAGCUAGAGCCCCUACGGAGCUAUUUUAAAUGGACUCGACAUCAUCUUUCUUUUUGUAUCUUGUGGAAAGAUGUAUUAUGUAUUUGGUUUAGAGAUUAUGUUAAACUUUUGGAUUUAGUUGUAUAUAUUUUGGAUCUCUUUAUGCUAGAAUAUUAGUGAUUUUAUUUUACUCGCUCUGAUAGCCUUGUUAGGACUUUAUCUUAUUCAUUUCUAGUUUUUGGUAGACGCCUUGUGUGCACUGUGGUUGUUUGGUGUACACGGCGGGUCUGUGCGCGCACCGGGCGGGCUUCUGCUGGGUCCCGGGGCGUGACAGGUAGCUUUUGUUUUGGACAUUGUAGGUGUUUCGAAUAUCCAUGCACAACAUUUGGUUCAUUCGGUUCAUGAGAUUCAAUCCAAAAUAGCCCAUCAAUAGUGAAAGUGGUUGUUGUUGGUGGUGGUGUUACUGCUGCUUUGGUGAAAACAGCUGUGGCGGAAAAUUUACGUUGCAUGGUGGAAGAAAGAUUACUGUUGGAGUUGGUGUGAACGCAGGGUGGUUGUUCAAUGUCUAUCGGAGGGGAUCGAAUAACGUUGGCGGAGAAAAGAGCGCGGUGUUGAGUGCUGCAGUGUUUUGAUUGACGGGAGGUGUCGAUAUCAGUGAUAAGUUGUUCGGUGGGAAAAAGGGAACUGGUUGUUCAAUGUCUAUGGAGAAAGAAGCUUCUUUAGGGCUGUUUUGGUUAAGGAGAAGCUCGAGUUGGUGGCUAAGAUCAUCCAUGGAGGGAGGGAGGGAGAGAGAUAUGGGUGUGGAAUGCAUAGAUAUGAGAAUUAGGGUUGUAUAUAUAGAGAUGGUCAUGUAAUAUUACUAUGAGUGAGGUAGUGCCAUUGCUUUUAAUGAAGUU